GGGCGAGUGGCGGAAUGGUAGACGCGCAGCGUUCAGGGCGCUGUGGCCCCUAGGGCCGUGGAGGUUCAAAUCCUCUCUCGCCCACCA
rnacentral:tRNA from 1 species